UAAUAAAGGAUUUUUUUUUCACCUUCACCUUUGUUUGUUGAGUUGAAUAGUGCUAAAGAAGCCGUUUGGACACAGUAAAGACCUUCUGGCGACCUGCGACAGUGUGAACCUGACCCACAGACACCAGCCAAACCCAGACAAACGGGCUCAGACCAGGCUGACCCACUUCUGCUGUGGCGCUGCCUUGUUCCAGCCUGGCACGUGGCAGAAACAGACACACCGAGCUCAUGGCGGCUGCGAGGAUGUCGACUGCUGCGCUGCAUCUCCAUCCUCUAAGCUGAACCCACAUCUGAGGCUAACCUGAACUUUACAGCCAAAACCCGUCCCUCCAGCAGAAAGACACGACAAGACAAGAGGUGCUGAGUGCUCGCAUUCGCUCUGUACAAACCUCCGUCUCACUCUCUUGCACAGCUACGAUUUCUUCUUUACAUUCUUUAUUCUGGUUCUGGUCCACAUUCACUCCUCCGGCUCCAGCUCCAAGCAAUGGGCGACUCCUUGUCUGUGCUUCUGCUUCAGCUGAUGAACCUGACCUCUGACCUUUGACCCAGGCCUCUUUCUUUACUUCCUGACCUCCGUCCCUCCACGCAGGUAGACCUACGUAGAUGUGACUAAUCCUAAUCCUAAUCUGCUGUGGGAACAAGCUGCAGACGCACCGUCCCUUAACGUAACCUGACCUGGAUGACAGACCUCAAUCCAGUCUUUCCGCUCAGCGUGACACAGCAUGUUCUGAGCUAAUUACCGCAGGCUUGCACCACUCAUGUAUUUUUAGGUGUUUGUUGUUUUUUUUUCUCUUUGUGAUACAUUGUCAUAUUAUUAAAUAUAAUGUUUCCUAUAUGAAUCUAGAUUUCCAGUGUUUCCGCCGGUUUCUUCCUCUCCACCGUCUCCUGGUGCUGCUCAGUGGGAUUUCUUGGGUUUUCUCUAGAACUCCUGUUGCGUUUUGUGAGUUAAGGGAUAAUGAAGUGCGAUAUGAGGAGCCGCUUUCCUCUCUGGACCGAUCUGUCACAAUGACGCCACCGUCUUCCAGCAACACACAGAUGAGUCUGCUUCGGCUCAGGACAACAGCGACAAACACCGGCUGCAGCCCCCGAUGCUCCGUUUAACCUCGCAGGCCUGGAUCAGCACGGGGAUGUCCAGCAGGACUGAGGCCAAACAGAUCGAUGGGGCAUCAGGACAAACCCAAACAAGACGGCGCAGCUCACGGCGCGAGUCAGAUCCAUAGGAAACACCCGUUUGUCAAUAAACGCUACGCAAAACAUGCUGUAAUUCGAAGG
rnacentral:lncRNA from 1 species